CCUACGGGUGGCUGCAGUGAGGAAUAUUGGUCAAUGGCCGAGAGCCUGAACCAGCCAAGUAGCGUGAAGGAUGACGGCCCUACGGGUUGUAAACCUCUUUUAUCAAGGAAUAAAGUGAGGCACGUGUGCCUUUUUGUAUGUACUUUAUGAAUAAGCAUCGGCUAACUCCGUGCCAGCAGCCGCGGUAAUACGGAGGAUGCGAGCGUUAUCCGGAUUUAUUGGGUUUAAAGGGUGCGUAGAGGGGUGGUUAAGUCAGGUGUGAAAUUUGGGGGCUCAAACCCCGAAUUGCCAUUGAUACUGGCAGUCUUGAGUACAGGUGAAGUAGGCGGAAUGCGUGGUGUAGCGGUGAAAUGCAUAGAUAUCACGAAGAACUCCGAUUGCGAAGGCAGCUUACUAAACUGCCACUGACACUGAUGCUCGAAAGCGUGGGUAUCAAACAGGAUUAGAUACCCGAGUAGUC
rnacentral:rRNA from 1 species